CAAUUCGACCAAUUUGGCUGUGGCGACUGCGGAGGAGUGAGCCGGUGCAUUGUGAGCAAUCGCGGUACCCAUCCGACAGCUUUUUCAUUCCCAAGUUAUCAUGCAAAAUAUUGAAUGAAUCACUCUGAAAUUUUGUAUGGCGUCACUUGAAAGAUGGUAGUACACGAUGGUGCCAACGUCGAUGGAUCAGCAACAUCGCCUGUCUAGAAACACAGUAAAGAUCCAACAAUGUCCAUAGCUACUUUGUUGAAAGAAGCUCCAGGGCAGCGAUCACAUAAUUUUUCCCUAGGGUGGAAAUGUGAAAAGUGAAAAAUUUUACGCGAAUUCGAGAAUUUUUGCAAUCAUGCAACUUUUUGAACUGUGGAAAUAUAAAACUUUCCACGUGAACUUUUUCACCUUGAAAGUUGAUGGCGAAAUGGCGAAAAUGUAGUGAAAAUAAUAACAUGGCUGCAGCAUAGUGGGUACUUCAACUUGAACAUAAUGAAAAACAUAUACUUAAAAUACGUAGAAGAGAAUUACAAGAUUUAAAUAAUCCUUUUGAGAUCUCGAAACCUCAAUUUAUGGCUUUAUAUCGGUUCUGGAUUAAUACUAACUUUCCUGGAAUAAUAGAUAAACGCUAUAGAUGGGACAUAUGUAAUAAUAUGGUCACCAGAGAAAACACCUAGAGAACACCUUUAUAUUAAUAGAAAACUUUCAUCCUUUAAAUGUUAUGAUAAUCAGUGACUAUUAUGGAAUAAUAUUGGCAAGUUGUCAAGUCAUAGUGGCCGCAUGAUUCCAAAGUUUGGAAUUCCUCUCGAUUAUCCAGAUACAUGUUAAACAAAUAUCAAAAUGGUAGAAGAAAUGUAUGGCUAUUAGAUAAAAUUGUGGAAAAUGAGAGCAACCAUUGAUGACCUUGACCUUGACAAUAUAUCUAGUCUAUACAUAUCUAGUCUAGCCGAAAAAUUCAAUAUUCCUGUCAACGACGUAUAUAGAGAUGAAAAUAUUGAAGAAGAAUUAGAACCUAUUUUGAACAAUAAUUUACAUGCAAGAGGAAAUGAAGUGCGAGAAAGAAUAAUACUACAAUAUUUCACAUAAUAACUUUAUUUUUUAAGAAACCAUGUAACAUAGAUGUAUUACUUGAAAUUGUAUUUUCUCACUUAAAAAUAAAACUAACAAGAAAUGUUAUCUUUAAUA
rnacentral:lncRNA from 1 species